rnacentral:rRNA from 1 species
GACGAACGCUGGCGGCGUGCUUAACACAUGCAAGUCGAACGGAAAGGCCCUGCUUUUGUGGGGUGCUCGAGUGGCGAACGGGUGAGUAACACGUGAGUAACCUGCCCUUGACUUUGGGAUAACUUCAGGAAGCUGGGGCUAAUACCGGAUAGGAGCUCCUGCUGCAUGGUGGGGGUUGGAAAGUUUCGGCGGUUGGGGAUGGACUCGCGGCUUAUCAGCUUGUUGGUGGGGUAGUGGCUUACCAAGGCUUUGACGGGUAGCCGGCCUGUGAGGGUGACCGGCCACAUUGGUACUGAGAUACGGCCCAGACUCCUACGGGUGGCAGCAGUGGGGAAUAUUGCACAAUUGGCGGAAGCCUGAUGCAGCAACGCCGCGUGCGGGAUGACGGCCUUCGGGUUGUAAACCGCUUUCGCCUGUGACGAAGCGUGAGUGACGGUAAUGGGUAAAGAAGCACCGGCUAACUCCGUG